CUCCGCUUCCCUCUUGGCCUUCUAGCCACAGGCCUUCGCGCGGCCGGCUCAUCGAGGAGCGGUUCAGUCCCGGGGCCAAUGGCCUGUGGCCGGAAUGGUUGAAUUCACAGAGGCUGAUAGCUCUAAGUUGCUAAGAGCUGGAGAGAGUGAUUGUCACCUGAGGGGUAAGGAGCUGAUGAAAGCUAGUCAGACUUCCCAGAUGACCAGAACGCCUCUUGCCUGCACACAGUCCUGCCCAAGUGGACUAUAACGGACUGAAGAAGAAGGGGUGCGGUUUGUAAAGGUGCUUACAGCUGAGCUGGACGCCACCGUCAGCCUGAGUAGGCACGCUCUGGCUGCUGCCUCUGAGCCACCGGCAGUGCUUUCCCAGGCCUGCUGUUUCUGAGAAAGUUACUCCUUUCAGGCUGCUGAGCUGGAUCUGUGUCACCUCAGACCUCUGUUUUUUUGUGGACAUGCGUGUGGGCGAUCCAGUGGGAGGAACUAGGAGACCUGGGACAGAGGCCUGAGUGAUUCCAGCAGCACGGAAUCCUUCUGAAACAUUGAUACUCAAGUCUGCAUAAAGUUCAGAGUUUCUUUGUUUUCUGUUUGUCACAAAGUGUCUUUCUCUCCAGCAAGUCAAAGUGAAGAAAAAAAUGGCUUGAGCUAUUGUGAACUGCAAGAGGCAAAACCCCAGUUAAGUCCCAAGUUAUGAAC
ensembl:lncRNA